GACGAACGCUGGCGGCGUGCUUAACACAUGCAAGUCGAGCGGUAAGGCCCUUUCGGGGUACGACGAGCGGCGAACGGGUGAGUAACACGUGGGUGGACCUCGCCCUCCAGCUCUGGGAGUAAGCCUCGGGAAACCGGGGUACUAAUACCGGAUAUGACUCCAUGACGCAUGUUGUGGGGUGGAAAGCCUUGUGCGGCUGAGGAUGGGCCCGCGGCCUAUCAGCUUGUUGGUGGGGUGAUGGCCUACCAAGGCGACGACGGGUAGCCGGCCUGAGAGGGCGACCGGCCACACUGGGGACUGAGACACGGCCCAGACUCCUACGGGAGGCAGCAGGUGGGGAAUCUUGCGCAAUGGGCGAAAGCCUGACGCAGCGACGCCGCGUGAGGGAUGACGGCCU
rnacentral:rRNA from 1 species